UUUAUUCAACGCAAAAGAAUCCUCUCCAAUUUUACUGAGGUAGCUGACUAUGUCCACAACCAAAUCCGCCUCUAAACUGGAAUUCAGUUGCUGACCCAGCCCCAGACUCGGCUUUCUUGUCGGCACCAGGUGGCACAGCACUCUGUCUACUGAACCUAUCCAGAAUUGUGAUUCAUGACUCACCAGAUCCUGUGGCCCCCCUAUCCAGGGGUGCACUCAGCACAUGAGGACGCCUGUGAUUCUGCCCCUAUGAGUUCAUCCCCAACCAGUCAGCAAUACCCAUUCCUUAACCCCCUGCCUGGCAAACUGUCUGGGAGACUGAUUUGAGUGAUAACUCCAAUUCUCUUGUGUGGGCCAGCCACAUAUCAAUAAAACUCUUUCUCUACUGCAAUGCCAUGGUCUCAGUGGAUUGAUUUUGUCUGUACACUGGGGCAGGAAGAACCCAUCAGGG
rnacentral:lncRNA from 10 species